AUUCCAGCUCCAAUAGCGUAUAUUAAAGUUGUUGCAGUUAAAAAGCUCGUAGUUGAACCUUGGACAAAGUGCGCGUGGUCUACCGCAAGGUAUGACUGCGGCGCUGCGUCUCUUUAGGGGGACUCGAUGCUUCGGUGUCGAGGUAACCCGUGUUACUGUGAAGAAAUUAGAGUGUUUAAAGCAGGCUAUCGCUUGAAUACAUCAGCAUGGAAUAACAAGUUGGACUUUGCUCCUACUUGUUGGUUUGAGGGGAAAAGUAAUGAUUAAUAGGGCCAGUUGGGGGCAUUAGUAUUCAGUAGUCAGAGGUGAAAUUCUUGGAUUUACUGAAGACUAACUAGUGCGAAAGCAUUUGCCAAGGAUGUUUUCAUUG
rnacentral:rRNA from 1 species